GGCCAGCCCGGGGAGGAAGAUGGAGGAGCCGCGGCCGGGCGGGCACCGCGGCCGUGCCAGGAGCGCGGCGGAGGGGCUGCUCUUGAUGGGUGGAAAACACCGCUUCUCGCUCUCCUCACGGCAUGGAAAAUACCGAAACACGCUUUAGGAGAAAAAAAUAACACAGCAACAACCCCCAAACAGCUGAGGAUUGAUGUAUCUUCAGGGAAGAAGCCGUCGCCGCUCGCCUGGCUCCUCACGACAACCUGCCCGCCAUUUGCUUAAUUAAAAGCAUAUACUUGAUGUGAUCAGAUGUGGUAAUACCGUAAAAAAAAAAACCCAAACCAAACCAAAAUACCCCGUAACAUCCAAACGCUCGUUGUUGGAGGCUGCAGCCAAGCUCGGCUGCUUAUUCCAGAAGUUUCUACAGGGGAGGGAGCACCCACUGCGGAGCCUUUGCCGCAGCGCCGGGAGGAGAUGCCGAGGAUGCGCCACCUCUCCCCUUCCCAAGCCUCCCCCCUUCGCUCGAUUUUCCCCAUCCUUGGGAAAAAAACGCUGCUGGGAGGUGUGUUAAGGGUGUUUUUUAUUAAAAAAUCUUCCUCCUUCCCCCUCCCCGCUUUGCUAAAUGAAUUAAAAGCAGCGCUGUCUCCCGAUGGAGAUGGAUGAGGCUGCUCGCUCGCACGCUCCCCUGCAGCCUCCGGCUGCCCCAGCGAGGGGACCGCGGCCACAAGUGACCUUCCCCAGGUGCCCCGACACGCUGCUGCUUCUUGGGAUUCAUUUUAAAUAGGCUUAUUAUUUUUUAUCUCCCCCCUCCCCUUAAAGAACAGUUCGCUCUUUCAGUGAUUCUUUUUUCUUGACGCUUCUUCAUGAUCCUUUUUUUUUGUGUGUGUGUUUUGAAUUGCAUCUUAAAACUGCCCAGCUGGAGACAGGUCUCGAUUAGAGCUGGAACAAUAGUUCCAUUUUAUUAAUAACGGGAAGGAUUUACAAUCCUCCAGCACCUUCCUUGGAAGGCUUUCAGGAAUCAUUUGCAAACACGCACACAUUUAAGAUCCCGCAGCCAAGGGCUGGGAGGUGGGUAAGUAUGUGAAUGGUGCCACCGCCAAAAAUCGCGUCGGUGGCCAAUCUGCCUUUCCGAGUGCUGAAAAAAAGACAGAUUGGGUGGGUUCUAGGGCUGUGACCUCAAUCUGUCCCGUGUUCUCUGUAGAUGCCGAUUGUUCUGCUGCAUCCUGAGAACUGGGCUGUACAGAGGACCGCGCCGCCUUGCCGGAGCGGAGCUGUGGACUCGCUUGCUGCUCAGUAAACAUCUGCUUAUAGAUCUUUAUUUCUUUGAUUAUCUUUUUCUAAUUCAUUACCUUUUUGCAGUCCCCAAGCGACCUCCUUUAGUGCUGGCUCCGCUGUGGUUUGACCGCAGCUUCGCGUUAAAGCGCUAAUGUGUCUAAUGACCUUGCUUGGGGACCGGGCCCACCGGGCUGCUGCGGAUGCUCCGUUUCCAUUACAGAACCCCACACGCCGUGUAUUCCCAUUUUUCCAACGCAUCCUUCCCUCGCCUGGGAAUGUUGCAAUAUUAUAGUGUCUUCUGCCUUAUUUUUUGUCCUUUUUCCCCCCCUCUUUCCUAGGGAUACACAGGAUUGUGUAACCCACGGCAGAUGUAACCAUCUCAGAGCUGUCUGGGCAGUCGGAUCUGGCCUUGCUGAGACACGGGUUGUGUAAGUGGCGUGUUGUACGCAGGCCACAAAACCCCACAACAUUUCAGUGGUUACGUCUGUCUGGGAGAGCGUGAGUAGGUCCCAGGGCUUCCCCUUCCCACCGCUUUGCCGGUUCACAAAACGAGAGGCUGAUGCUUCUGGAAAAAGCUCUGCCUUGUGGCCUUUAAAAAAAAAAAACCUGCUGUGGAUUAGUCAUCCUUGUUUUUAAAGGAAGCUGCGUUUGCCAGCCCUGGCCGUGUAACGCGUGUGUGUUAUCAGCCAUUGGGUUUAUUUGCUGGUAAGGUGCUGGGCUCUCUGGGGCGGCGCCACCGCGGCUCCUUCGAGCUGUUCCCGGCGGGUGGAAGAGCCACCACGGUCCAGCUUUUCAUGCCCUUCCCUCCGUUCUCUUGUUUUUCAGCGCUGGAAAUGUGGAGAACGCACCAAACGCACGUGGGGACAGACAAACGUAUUCUGGGGUCACUUCAACUCUGGAGGAGAAGCCCUGGGAUGUGUUGGUUUGGAGAUGCUCCUUGUGCUCACCGGAGGUACCAAGAAGCUGCUUGUUGGGGAUGUUUCCACGUUUUUGAGGUUGGCAACACCCCGUGGGACUCGGAAUUAACUUUUCUUUGGUAGUCGAGGACAAACGAGUGAGAAUCACCUUGGGAGCGCUGAACUUUUACCCCCCUCUCCUUCGGACUGAAGAGCUUCUAGAACUACAUCGGUGAGGCUUCCAAGUUAAACAAAACCUGAAUUCCCGCUGCCAAAAAGCAAGCGAGCGAUAGAAACCUCCACAUCUCCUCCGUGAGGGGGGACACCGCGGUCUCCCGAGAUUAUUCUGGUAUCCCCAAGAGUUAAAAAUGCUGCAUCGUGAGACCUGCGGAGGUCAAACGAAAGCCAGAGCUCACCGAGAAACUCUUCUCCGUAUCGCUCAAGGGGUUUUUGAGCAUAGCAGGUCUCCACGCACCAUUAUUUUUGUGUCUUUGUCAGGACCAAAGGAGCGAUAAUAGUGUGUUCAGUCUGCUUUGUUUAAAACACCGUCGAGUUGCUUUGCUAUCAAAAUGGUGUCUGGUGAAAGAAAAGCUCUGGUGGUGGCUGGCUCGGUGGUUAUUUUGUGCCAACCGAUCCCUCGUGGCUUUGGGCUGUGGGUUCGUGUUAAACCCUUGUCCUCCAGCG
rnacentral:lncRNA from 1 species